UCAUAUUCUCUCUCAUUCUAUCGUUAACACAACCGAUUACUCCCAAAACCCUAAUUCCAAAAUCAGGAGCACCCUCCAUUCUCCAAUCUCUUCUCCGUCGUUCAUCUAGGGUUUCUUCCAGAAAUAGAAUUGUCUCAUCCAAUCUUUUUCCGAUCGACAUAUUUAAGGUAAGAUUGAUCUCAUAUUUGACAUUGUUUAAUCGAUUCGCAUCCUCCAAUCUCUUCUGCGUCGCUCAUCUAGGGUUUCUUCCACAAAUCGCAUUGUCUCAUUCAAUCAUCGACAUAUUUAAGGUAAGAUUGAUCUCAUAUUUGACAUUUUAAUCGAUUCGCUUGACAAUGCAUUUGAUAACAGGGAUUAAAACUAGGGUUCAUAUUGUUGAACUUGUGGUCCAAAUUAACCUGGUGCAUGUUCGAAAUUCUUUGAUAUUUCCCCUUUGUUUUUGGUGCAGUGUUUCAUUUUUAGAAAACUCAAUUGCAAAAUCGCAUAUUUGCUCAUCAGAAAUUGCUGUGAUUAUUGUAAAAUUAAGGGCGAUGUUUAGGAGGUUUAAGAUGAUUACUGACACAUGAGAAACCAGUAUUGUUAACAAGGAUGUUGAUUGACAUCAUCAAAGCUCUGGAUAAUAGAAGGUUAAUAAUCUUGAUUAAAUGGGUCUGAAACUGACUCCAAAGCAAGUUGUUAAGUUAUAUGAUCGGAACUUUGGCAUUGGGUCAAAUGGAGUGAUCUCUGCAAUGUCUGGAUGCUAUGGGACUGUUUAUACCAUGAGGAUUUUUAAUUCGGAUGAUAGCGAACCCGAGUGUGUGGAUGUAUAAACCCUCGGUGAAGAGUGUGGGAAUUUGUUUGAAUAAGGCCCAUGGAUUUUUUUUCGGGCUUCGAGAUAUGAUCAAGGUUGGAAUUGUCAAACUCAAAAUGCCGUAGUUAGUUAUUCGAGCAUUGUCGCAUUGAAACGAGGCGUUUUUUAUCAUUGUCGCAUUCAAGUCUCCUCUUUUGCUUAUUCUAUGGCUACUCGUGAUGGGAGAAUUAUGGCAUCGCAAAUGAUUCGUUUGUUUAGAUAUUGAACAAUGUCAAAAAACGGGUCAAGCCAAACAAAUUUCAAGCGUCCAUAUCCAUCUUUAUAUCUAAUCUUGAGAUGGUAAAUUUUGAAUGUUUUGCCUAAGGCCUGUGGAUAAUUUAUAAAUAAUUUUGAAGAAUUUUUUUUUAUGCAAUGUAUCUUUUCCCUUAACAUAGACCUAGAGAUGAGCAACCCGGUACUAAAUUUCCUGCAUCAAAAUAUUUUUGGUACUGACUUGGUACUGACAUUUCCAGUACCGGUUUUACCUUCAAAUAUCGCUCCAUACACGUACCGGUAGACUGAACCUUUUCGGUACUCGUAUCGGUGCCCGUUUUUGGGAUUUUCGGUACGGCGGUACCUUUAGUACGGUUGGUACCGAGCUCAUCUCUACAUAGACCUAUGGAUAAAUUAUAAAGAAUUUUAAAUUUUUUUUUUCAUCUUGACUUUGGUUGAUACUCAUGACCUUACCAAAGUUUCAGUUGGUAAGUACAUAUAAAAAGAAAUUCAGGUGACAUGAAAUAAGCUACUUCUAAUUUAAAAUCUUGAAUGAAUAUAUAGAUGGUUAAUCUGAAGGGAUGAUGCAAGAUAUUGUGAAUAUGGUCUGAGCCUACAUUCAAAAGCUAAACUGUAGUAUGUUGGCAAUAUCAUCAACUAAUCAAGCUCUUGCUACAAUAGAUGCGAUUUAAAUGUCCCGUGAGGUGGACCCCACAGGUCGCGUUGUUCAGGUUUUGAUAUUUAAUAUUUAAUCCAAGAAUCAUAGUCUCUAACCAUCGAGCUCGCCAGGUAGAUUAUGUUCCUGCCACCAUUUUUGUUCUGGAAGAGGUGCUUAUCAUCGCUUAACGAGUAUAUAAAAGUAUAAAACACAAAAGCAACAAUUUUUGCUGAAGUUUAUGUAUGCAGGUGGUAGAUGCAAUUGAAGUAAGAGUACUGGUUCUGCGUGACAGAGGAAAAGGCAAGGAAUGGAUAUUUUCAAACCUUUAGCUCUCGGUGCACACACGGUUAUGAUUGAGAGACCGUAUAUGGGUUGGCAUGUUGUAAAAUUUGAGAGAGAAUUAACUAAUUUGUAGGAGCAGUCGCCCCUUCUGAAGACAUAGGCGGCGACAUUGGUACUAAUUUCUUCCAAUGUAUGUAUUUGUUAAGAAUAUUUCAUUUCAAAGUAAAUAAUAGUUUUUGUUGAAGCCUCGCGUAUUACGCGGGCAUUAACCUA